GUGGAAGCACGGCUCCAUGGACAUGGCGCGCACGCACGGCGUCUCGGGCACCUUGUGGUCCUUGGCGAUCAUGAGCAUGGUGGGACGCAGCCCCGCGAGGCUGCUGCUCAUGUAGCCGAACGUGGAUAUCCCCGUGGUGAGCAGCACGUCGGAGAAGCUGAGCAGGUAGAUCUCCGCCAGCGCCUUCUGGUUGUGCGACCGCUGCCCCAUCGUCUGCUUCUCCUCGUGGCUCGGCUGGAACACCCCCACCCCGCCACCGCCCUCCGCCGCGUGCUCGUAGUACGUCGACUUGAUCCUCUCGUAGUACUCAGCCCGCAGCGAUGCGAUCAAGAUGGCCUUGGAUUUGCUGGAGCCGUUGGCCGCGGCGCUCGUCGUGUUCGCCUCGUCGCCGUCGACGUCCGGCAGUAUGUGCUCCUGCCGGGAGCACGCCAUGAUCUGGUCGUACAUGUCGUCGACGGGGAUGGACGCCCAGGAGAACAUCCUGAUCUGCACACCGAUCCUCUCCUCCGCCUGGGCCAGGUACGAGUGGUAGUAGCGCGUGAUCAUGCCCCACACGGAGUUGGACGGGUGGAACAGGUACCGGCCGAGGAGGUGCGCCACGCUCUCCAUAGCCGGGAACAGCCUCCGGAGCUCGCCUUCGAACUCGGCCAUGUCGUACAGCGCCGGCACGAAGUAGAAGUCGUUCUGCAGCAGCAGCCAGUUCACCUUGGCCAGCACCAGCUGGUCGUCGUUGCAGUAGAAGCGCCGGUCCGAGCGCCGGAGGUCGUGCGCCAGGUGCAGGUACACGUACGGCGGCACCGACUGCGCCGUCGCCUUGGCUAG
rnacentral:rRNA from 1 species